rnacentral:rRNA from 1 species
AGCAGCCGCGGUAAUUCCAGCUCCAAUAGCGUAUAUUAAAGUUGUUGCAGUUAAAAAGCUCGUAGUUGAACUUCGGGGUUCACCCACUGGUCGUCGGGCUUAACUGUCUGUUACUGGUGAGAUGAAUCCCUACCUUCUGAGGAACCUUCAUGCCAUUCAUUUGGUGUGAUGGGAAAUCAGGACUGUUACUUUGAAAAAAUUAGAGUGUUUAAAGCAAGCUAAUGUUUGAAUAGAUUAGCAUGGAAUAACGCAAUAGGACGGCCUGAUCCUAUUUCGUUGGUUUCUAGGAUCACCGUAAUGAUUAAUAGGGAUAGUUGGGGGCAUUAGUAUUCAAUUGUCGGAGGUGAAAUUCUUGGAUUUAUUGAAGACUAACUAUUGCGAAAGCAUUUGCCUAAGGAUGUUUCAUUAAUCAAGAACGAAAGUUAGGGAUCGAAGACGAUCAGAUACCGUCGUAGUCUUAACCAUAAACUAUGCCGACUAGGAUCGGACGAAGUUAAUUUAUAAUGACGCGUUAGGCGCCUUAACCGGG